rnacentral:rRNA from 1 species
GACGAACGCUGGCGGCGUGCUUAACACAUGCAAGUCGAACGGAAAGGCCCUGCUUUCGUGGGGUGCUCGAGUGGCGAACGGGUGAGUAACACGUGAGUAACCUGCCCUUGACUUUGGGAUAACUUCAGGAAACUGGGGCUAAUACCGGAUAGGAGCUCCUGCUGCAUGGUGGGGGUUGGAAAGUUUCGGCGGGUGGGGAUGGACUCGCGGCUUAUCAGCUUGUUGGUGGGGGAGUGGCUUACCAAGGCUUUGACGGGUAGCCGGCCUGAGAGGGUGACCGGCAACAUUGGGACUGAGAUACGGCCAGGACUCCUACGGGAGGAAGCAGUGGGGAAUAUUGCACAAUGGGCGGAAGCCUGAUGCAGCAACGCCGCGUGCGGGAUAACGGCCUUCGGGUUGUAAACCGCUUUCGCCUGUGACGAAGCGUGAGUGACGGUAAUGGGUAAAGAAGCACCGGCUAACUACGUG